GGAGUUUGGGCCGUGUCUCAGUCCCAAUGUGGCCGAUCACUCUCUCAAGUCGGCUACUGAUCGUUGCCUUGGUAGGCCGUUACCCUGCCAACUAGCUAAUCAGGCGCAGGCCCAUCUUUUAGCACCGGAGUUUUCAAGAAUAGCAUUUCAGCUACGCUCAUAUGGGGUAUUAGCAGAAGUUUCCCUCUGUUGUCCCCCACUAAAAGGCAGGUUUCCUACGUGUUACUCACCCGUCCGCCACUUUCCACUAGAGCAAGCUCUAGCUUCUCGUUCGACUUGCAUGUAUGAAGCACGCCGCCAGCGUUGUCCUCGAGCCACGGAGUCAAACUACU
rnacentral:rRNA from 1 species